rnacentral:rRNA from 1 species
UACGUAGGGUGCAAGCGUUGUCCGGAAUUAUUGGGCGUAAAGAGCUCGUAGGCGGUUUGUCGCGUCUGCUGUGAAAGCCCGGGGCUCAACCCCGGGUCGGCCGUGGCAACUGUCGAGCUGGAGCACUGUAGAGGCAGGUGGAAUUCCGGGUGUAGCGGUGGAAUGCGUAGAGAUCCGGAAGAACACCGGUGGCGAAGGCGGCCUGCUGGGCAGUGGCUGACGCUGAGGAGCGAAAGCGUGGGGAGCGAACAGG